rnacentral:rRNA from 1 species
AUGAACGCUAGCGACAGGCUUAACACAUGCAAGUCGAGGGGCAGCACAGGUAGCAAUACCGGGUGGCGACCGGCGCACGGGUGAGUAACGCGUAUGCAACUUGCCUAUCAGAGGGGGAUAACCCGGCGAAAGUCGGACUAAUACCGCAUGAAGCAGGGGCCCCGCAUGGGGAUAUUUGCUAAAGAUUCAUCGCUGAUAGAUAGGCAUGCGUUCCAUUAGGCAGUUGGCGGGGUAACGGCCCACCAAACCGACGAUGGAUAGGGGUUCUGAGAGGAAGGUCCCCCACAUUGGUACUGAGACACGGACCAAACUCCUACGGGAGGCAGCAGUGAGGAAUAUUGGUCAAUGGCCGAGAGGCUGAACCAGCCAAGUCGCGUGAGGGAUGAAGGUUCUAUGGAUCGUAAACCUCUUUUAUAAGGGAAUAAAGUGCGGGACGUGUCCCGUUUUGUAUGUACCUUAUGAAUAAGGAUCGGCUAACUCCGUGCCAGCAGCCGCGGUAAUACGGAGGAUCCGAGCGUUAUCCGGAUUUAUUGGGUUUAAAGGGUGCGUAGGCGGCCUUUUAAGUCAGCGGUGAAAGUCUGUGGCUCAACCAUAGAAUUGCCGUUGAAACUGGGGGGCUUGAGUAUGUUUGAGGCAGGCGGAAUGCGUGGUGUAGCGGUGAAAUGCAUAGAUAUCACGCAGAACCCCGAUUGCGAAGGCAGCCUGCCAAGCCAUUACUGACGCUGAUGCACGAAAGCGUGGGGAUCAAACAGGAUUAGAUACCCUGGUAGUCCACGCAGUAAACGAUGAUCACUAGCUGUUUGCGAUACACUGUAAGCGGCACAGCGAAAGCGUUAAGUGAUCCACCUGGGGAGUACGCCGGCAACGGUGAAACUCAAAGGAAUUGACGGGGGCCCGCACAAGCGGAGGAACAUGUGGUUUAAUUCGAUGAUACGCGAGGAACCUUACCCGGGUUUGAACGCAUUCGGACCGAGGUGGAAACACCUUUUCUAGCAAUAGCCGUUUGCGAGGUGCUGCAUGGUUGUCGUCAGCUCGUGCCGUGAGGUGUCGGCUUAAGUGCCAUAACGAGCGCAACCCUUGCCACUAGUUACUAACAGGUAAAGCUGAGGACUCUGGUGGGACUGCCAGCGUAAGCUGCGAGGAAGGCGGGGAUGACGUCAAAUCAGCACGGCCCUUACAUCCGGGGCGACACACGUGUUACAAUGGCGUGGACAAAGGGAAGCCACCUGGCGACAGGGAGCGAGUCCCCAAACCACGUCUCAGUUCGGAUCGGAGUCUGCAACCCGACUCCGUGAAGCUGGAUUCGCUAGUAAUCGCGCAUCAGCCAUGGCGCGGUGAAUACGUUCCCGGGCCUUGUACACACCGCCCGUCAAGCCAUGGGAGCCGGGGGUACCUGAAGUCCGUAACCGCGAGGAUCGGCCUAGGGUAAAACUGGUGACUGGGGCU